CAAAGCCAGGGCACUAUGAUUUUGCCAUCUUGCUUGAACUUCUACCAUUGUUUUUUAUAUAUAAUUCAUCAAGCCACCCCAUCAGGAAAGAACUGCACUCCCCCAACUUAAUUUUCUGAACUAAUGAAGUUCUCCAGGGAAGCCUGUGGGGAAACAUGAUCUCUUAUUUAAUGAUGUGCCGUCAACUCACUUAAUGCUGAUUUCUGCAUCACUCAGCUAAGGAUGACAUGCUGAUGAGAAGAAAAAGAAGCCUCACAGUCAAAUGAUGUGAUUCCAAUUACAAGGAUCCACUUAAGCCAGCUUUUGAUGUCCUGCCUGCUCCCAGGCUACCGGUUCAGGAAAUGCUGUGUGGUCUAUUCCCAUGAGGCACAUUCUGAGAUGGUCUUCUCAUCGG
ensembl:lncRNA